UUUCUCUAGAGUUAGCGCGUGAAACAAAUAGGCUAGAAAAAUGGAAUUUGCCCGAUUUGAAGCAUUGCUGGCUGCUGCUGAUGCGCUUCUGAAUUUUUCUGGUUCAAGCACACAAUCUCCCGUUUUGGAGAAGGUACCUACUGUAGCUUGUUACGAGGAAGUGGCAACAGACGUUGAGUCGACUAGAUCACUUUCGAGUCAUUCGGAAAACCUUUCGUCACCCAGCCUACCUUUACGUUCAUCCAAUUGUUCCCAGCUGCGUAUCAGCGAAACUCAAACGUAUACUGUAAACACCGCUAACGGUAAAGAUAUUUGUUCCGCGCUGUCUUCUUUAAGUAAUAAAAAACGUUCGUUGGCAGAUCGAGCACCUCCACAACAAAUUUUAAAUAGCACAAACUGCGAUCGUCCGAUUAACUGUUGUGAAAAUUGCAAUUAUCUAUCUGGCCAUGAAGAGCCGAUUAAAAAAAAAGAAGGUUGUAACAUCGACUCUCAUCCGCAAAGAAACUAUAGAUUUGUCAUUUGCCAGUACAUUGGAUUUUUCUGCAAACCUCCUAGUGGAUGGAAACAAUUUAGAACUCGAGCCCAAGGACGAUAAAUGUGGUUGCAAUGAACCCAUAGAUUUGUGUAUGAAACAAACAGCUCCUGUAACAAUGGAAGAGGCUGACAAUAUACAUUCUGAUGAAGGAAUGAUUGAUGAUGAUAGCGUUGAAGAUGGUGAUACUAUAUUAUUAAACGAUUUUUCUAUUUUUGACUAUUUUGAGCCAUAUAAGAUUAGUGAUGAUGAAGAAGCAAAUAUUAGUGCUCAUUGCUUGGAUGAUCUAGACUAGGAAGCGACUGUACUUAAGACCCGCACUGGCAAUCCUAAAGUGACGAACAGGGACAGAAAGGAAAAGGGAAUGGAAUACACCCGCAAAGAUGGUACUGUUGUAACAGAAAGACGCAUACGACCGGCUUGUAGAUGUCUACUGAAAUGCAGCGAAAAAUAUAAUGUCGAAACCCGUAACCUUCUUUUAAAACAUUUACUUCGAUUAAAACUCUCUGGACAGAACCAAUUUUUGGCGAACCACAAAACGGUUACUGAAACAAAGAGACCCAAGGUCAUCAACUCUCGGCGCAGAUACAGCCGUACUUAUUCGUUGCCAGCAGUUAAUGGGACCGUCAAAGUUUGCAAAUCUAUGUUCGUUGCAACGUUUGAUAUUGGCGAUCGAAAAAUACGUGGUCUGGCACGUAAAACUUCCUGUCAAAUGAUUGCAAGCGAUGACCAACGAGUGAACAACCGAAACAGAAUUCCGAUUGAUGAGGACCAUGUUAACUUUAUCUAAAACCACAUUCGCUCUUUUCCAGCUUAUUCAAGUUAUUAUUCUCGUGAGCGCUCCAAUCGGCUAUAUCUUUCUAAUUACCUAAACGUUCAAAUCAUGUACGAGAUGUAUGUGGGAAAGUGUGCGGAUUUUCGCCUAAAUACUGUUUCUUAUAACACAUAUCGCUUGAUAUUCAAAACGAUGAAUUUAGGGUUUAGGACUCCUAAAGUCGACACCUGUGGAGAAUGUGAUCGUCUAACGAUGUUUAUAAAAACAGCAAGUAACGAACAGGAAAAAAGUAACGCAAGAAAAAUAUACGAGCAAUAUCAGACUGCCGCAAAGCGUGUAUAUGAUGAGAAAAAAAGAGAUAUUGCGUUAUCUAAGAUAGGAGAUGACGUGAAAACAGUAUCAUUCGAUCUGCAAAAGCAGCUGCCGACACCUAGUUUGACGUGUGGCCAAGCAUUUUAUGCCAGACAAUUGUACACACUCAACCUAACGAUGUUUGAGACACAUUGUGGAGUGAACUCUGCAACGUGCUUUCUUUGGGAUGAAACCAAAGCACGUCGUGGCUCUCAAGAAGUUGGAUCUUGUUUAUUACUAAAUUUGGAGGCAGUACCUGAUUGUGUGAAAACAAUCAAUUAUUACAGCGAUCGCUGUGGUGGCCAAAAUUUGAAUAAAAACAUCGUAUUUAUGUUUUGCUACCAUAUCGAAAUGUUAGCACUGAAAGGCAGGAAAAUUAUCAUAAAUCACAAGCUGAUGAAAACUGGACAUUCCCACAUGGAAGUUAAUACAGUGCACUCUGCAAUUGAACGUGCUAAGAAAAAAAACUGUUAUUGACAUCGAAACACCACAUGACUGGGCGAUUUUUAUUGCGGCUGUUCGUCGAUCAGUUCCGUUUACAGUUAGAGAGUUAAAUCAAUCUGAAUUCAAAGCACUUGAAUCAUUGGAAACUCGUUAUACCUUGCCAAAAGUGACCACAACUGGAGAGAAGCUUCGUUUCAAAGAAAUUAUGGUGUUCAGUUACAGUACAGAGUGUCCAGGAGUCGUUGCCAUAAAGUAUGAUGUUGCAGAGGAAUUUCAAACUGUUCGACUAAUUCCCUCAGAUCAUGACAUCAAUAGCAUAGUGAAAAUCAAUUUGCCCCCAAUAGAAACAAGCCCCAUUCCGCUACCUACUGCUAAACUCGAGGAUUUGAGAAGUCUUUUGCCAUACAUAAGUCAAAAAGAAUAUUAUGAAACAUUCCUGCAAUCGUUAGCUGUUCCAAAGCGGGGGCGAGAGUUGAAGCAAAAUGAAGUAAAAGAUGAAUUCGAUAAUGAUCUGGAUUCUAUAGAUUAUACUGAAUAACAAACCGUAUAUUGAUUCUUAGUAUUUUACUUUUCUUUGAUUAUUUGAAUGUGUCCAAGAAUACUAAACAAAUUUCGAAAGGUAGUUUACAAUAAAUUUUGUUAUUCAGCAGCUGAAUUAUACAAGUGUGCUUUUCACUUUGCUGGUUUACGGUGCUGCACGGUUCCCUGCGAUCUAGGAUUUUUUUAAACGUCGUAUCUGUUCACCUAGCUAUCAAAAGGACGUAUAAUCUAUGUCGAAUGUGCCUGACUAGAAAUAAAAGGUCGUAAGUAACAUUUUCCUUCAAUUUACAGCUAAAAACUAAUAAAUACUCAAUUCUGUCGAAGCGCACCCAUUCUGCACGCUGCUUUAUUUUAACUCUAAUCUGAUUAGGAUCUACUCAGUUUGGUAUUCUUAUGCAAAAUGUCAAAAGUGAGCAAUUGAGUACUGGACAAUUGAGUAACAUUAACCCAAAUUUUCAUAAUUACCACGUUUACUCAGUUUUGAGUUAUUAUCCAUGAUGUUUACUCACCCUGAGUAUAUGUAUAUGUCAAAAGUUUUCAACAGCAAUAUUAUCGGUUUCCGAAGAACAAUUGGUGUCGCUUUUUAUUCGUUGGCUAGCAUCCAACAUCAGUAUUGCAGAGGAUUUGAAAACACCUAAAAGAUCUCUUCAAAAUGAACAACCGCAUGUUAUAUGUUCUACGAUGCCGUUUGAAGCCGGACUUUUAUUCGUGAUAACAAACUAUUAGGUGACGAAUGAUGAUGGAUUAUCUGGCACAGAAAUGUAAGUCACAGUUCACGGG